rnacentral:rRNA from 1 species
AUUGAACGCUGGCUGCAGGCCUAACACAUGCAAGUCGAACGCGUGGCGGACGGGUGAGUAAUGUCUGUGAAACUGCCCGAUGUAGGGUGAUACCUGCUGGAAACGGUAGCUAAUACCGCCUACCAUCGGAUGUGCCCAGAGGGGAUUAGCUAGUAGGUGGGUUAACGGCUCACCUAGGCGACGAUGCCUAGCUGGUCUGAGAGGAUGACCAGCCACACUGGAACGGAGACACGGUCCAGACUCCUACGGGAGGCAGGAGUGGGGAAUAGUGCACAAUGGGCGCAAGCCUGAUGCAGCCAUGCCGCGUGUAGGAAGAAGGCCUUCGGGUUGUAAAGUACGUUCAGCGAGGAGGCGUUACUCGCAGAAGAAGCACCGGCUAACGCCGUGCCAGCAGCCGCGGUAAUUC